rnacentral:lncRNA from 1 species
CGGGGUGCAACAUGGACUUGAGAGUUCAGAAAGGUGGGCGAACUUGGAGAAGUUAUGAGUCUCACUGAAUCUCAGCCAGCUCACGUACAUCACAGAAGAACCGACUGCCGAGGAAAUUCAAAACACAUCCAUGAAAGCAGAAAAUUAUAAUGUGACAAGUGAAGAAUUGAAAUGGAUUCACCCUAAAAGCAGAGCCAAAUAUCAGCCAUUGUCAUGGGCCCCUAGGAGGACUGAGUCUGGUGAUGCACGAAUACCAGAAUGCAAGUGUGGUGCAAUGACAGCAAUAACACAUGUGUGCACCUUGAAGCCAGAGGGAUGGAAACCCCAGCCAAUGCCUCUUUCUCUUUUUCAGCCAUGUUUGCUUUCCAUAUGCUGGAUGAUGUGUAUGGAUUUUCAGUGUGUGUUUCAGAGUCUUAAAAGCUCAUGCUAGCUUGCUUAACAUACCUCUAUAACUCAUGAUAUAGAACCCUACGGAGAACUGUGUUGCAACAUGGAUGCAGUGCCUAUACUAAGGCACACUGCCAACCUGAAGACUGUCAGAGAGCAUCACUAACGGAGUGAUGGCAGCAGCAGCCCAUCCAGAAUGGCUGCUGCCAACAUGCCGGCUGCCGUGGGGAGGCACAGCCAGUCCUCCCACUCCACAGAGCAGGUAGGAGUCCUUUCCCUGGGCCCCAGGCCUCCUGCUCCAAGGGACAAGUGCGAGCCCUGCCCCUUCCGAAUUGGCAGGGCAGGAGCUCCUCAUGGGCAGCUGCAGCCACCCAAACCCGGCUGUGGACCUGGGCAUCUCUGUGCUCUUGUGGGGCUGGGAAGGCCUCCCUACCCCCCACUCCCCACAGACUCUGAAUUGCCUGGUCCCACUGUCUGGCCUGUCCCCACUCCUGGCACCCACUCAGAUCAUGGAGCAAGGUGGGAGCCUGCUGAGUGGGGCAUGCUUGGGUCAGCACUGACAUGUCAGCCCCACUCCCACCUUGGCCCCCUCCAGACAUUGGGUGCUGAUGAGCAUGGGGGGGGACUCAAAGCAGGGCUGAAGGCAGCUCAGUGCUGGCCUGCAGGUGCGCCUUGGUAUGAAUAGCCUGGGUGCCAUGAACAGCAGGAAAGGCAAACAGGCUCCUGGGCUGAAUGGGGUGGGUCCCCAGUGAAGCCCCACCCUCAAGCUGGGGAAGCCUUGAAGCCUGGGGGCCUGGCUGCCAGUCCCGUGGACUGAAGGGGGAACUGGUGGUGCUUUUUCCUGGGCCCACCCAUGGCUGCUGAUGGACCAGUCAGCACACACUUUCCCACUUCCCCACAAGACUGUAAAAACCCCAGACUCAGCCAGAGCAGAGCAGAUAUCUGGACCAGCAGCUACAGAGAGGAGCUGCCUUCUCCAGGGCCCCCUCUCUACUGAGAAAUGUGAACAAUUUGACAACCAGCAGCACAAAGGAGCUACCUUCCCUGCUGAGAGCUGAACAUUUGUCAGGACAAGCUAUCUGCAGAGAGGAACCACCCACUCCAGGCCUCCUCUUUGCUGAGAGCUGAACACUCAACAGGAUGACCAGCUGCAGAGAGGGGCCACUCACUCCAGGGCUUCCUCUCUGCUGAGAGCUGCAGAGAUGAUGGGAUUACCUGCCUACAGAGAGGAGCCACCCACUCCAGGCCUCCUCUCUGCUGAGAGCUGAACACUGACAGGAUGAUCUGCCUGUAGAGAGGAGCUAUCCACUAUGGGUCUCCUCUGAGCUUUUCUAACACUCAAUAAAGCUCCUCUUCAUCUUACU